GAUGAACGCUGGCGGCGUGCCUAAUACAUGCAAGUCGAGCGAACGGACGAGAAGCUUGCUUCUCUGAUGUUAGCGGCGGACGGGUGAGUAACACGUGGAUAACCUACCUAUAAGACUGGGAUAACUUCGGGAAACCGGAGCUAAUACCGGAUAAUAUUUUGAACCGCAUGGUUCAAAAGUGAAAGACGGUCUUGCUGUCACUUAUAGAUGGAUCCGCGCUGCAUUAGCUAGUUGGUAAGGUAACGGCUUACCAAGGCAACGAUGCAUAGCCGACCUGAGAGGGUGAUCGGCCACACUGGAACUGAGACACGGUCCAGACUCCUACGGGAGGCAGCAGUAGGGAAUCUUCCGCAAUGGGCGAAAGCCUGACGGAGCAACGCCGCGUGAGUGAUGAAGGUCUUCGGAUCGUAAAACUCUGUUAUUAGGGAAGAACAUAUGUGUAAGUAACUGUGCACAUCUUGACGGUACCUAAUCAGAAAGCCACAGCUAACUACGUGCCAGCAGCCGCGGUAAUACGUAGGUGGCAAGCGUUAUCCGGAAUUAUUGGGCGUAAAGCGCGCGUAGGCGGUUUUUUAAGUCUGAUGUGAAAGCCCACGGCUCAACCGUGGAGGGUCAUUGGAAACUGGAAAACUUGAGUGCAGAAGAGGAAAGUGGAAUUCCAUGUGUAGCGGUGAAAUGCGCAGAGAUAUGGAGGAACACCAGUGGCGAAGGCGACUUUCUGGUCUGUAACUGACGCUGAUGUGCGAAAGCGUGGGGAUCAAACAGGAUUAGAUACCCUGGUAGUCCACGCCGUAAACGAUGAGUGCUAAGUGUUAGGGGGUUUCCGCCCCUUAGUGCUGCAGCUAACGCAUUAAGCACUCCGCCUGGGGAGUACGACCGCAAGGUUGAAACUCAAAGGAAUUGACGGGGACCCGCACAAGCGGUGGAGCAUGUGGUUUAAUUCGAAGCAACGCGAAGAACCUUACCAAAUCUUGACAUCCUUUGACAACUCUAGAGAUAGAGCUUUCCCCUUCGGGGGACAAAGUGACAGGUGGUGCAUGGUUGUCGUCAGCUCGUGUCGUGAGAUGUUGGGUUAAGUCCCGCAACGAGCGCAACCCUUAAGCUUAGUUGCCAUCAUUAAGUUGGGCACUCUAAGUUGACUGCCGGUGACAAACCGGAGGAAGGUGGGGAUGACGUCAAAUCAUCAUGCCCCUUAUGAUUUGGGCUACACACGUGCUACAAUGGACAAUACAAAGGGCAGCGAAACCGCGAGGUCAAGCAAAUCCCAUAAAGUUGUUCUCAGUUCGGAUUGUAGUCUGCAACUCGACUACAUGAAGCUGGAAUCGCUAGUAAUCGUAGAUCAGCAUGCUACGGUGAAUACGUUCCCGGGUCU
rnacentral:rRNA from 1 species